UGCAAAAUGGUGUAGGGCACGUUAGGUUUUGGGCUUAAAAGUUAUCUUUGCAA
rnacentral:tRNA from 1 species